CUUCGGAUGUCAGCGGCAGACGGGUGAGUAACACGUGGGAACGUACCCUUCGGUUCGGAACAACUCUGGGAAACUGGAGCUAAUACCGGAUACGCCCUUUUGGGGAAAGGUUUACUGCCGAAGGAUCGGCCCGCGUCUGAUUAGCUAGUUGGUGGGGUAACGGCCUACCAAGGCGACGAUCAGUAGCUGGUCUGAGAGGAUGAUCAGCCACACUGGGACUGAGACACGGCCCAGACUCCUACGGGAGGCAGCAGUGGGGAAUAUUGGACAAUGGGCGCAAGCCUGAUCCAGCCAUGCCGCGUGAGUGAUGAAGGCCUUAGGGUUGUAAAGCUCUUUUGUCCGGGACGAUAAUGACGGUACCGGAAGAAUAAGCCCCGGCUAACUUCGUGCCAGCAGCCGCGGUAAUACGAAGGGGGCUAGCGUUGCUCGGAAUCACUGGGCGUAAAGGGCGCGUAGGCGGCCAUUCAAGUCGGGGGUGAAAGCCUGUGGCUCAACCACAGAAUUGCCUUCGAUACUGUUUGGCUUGAGUAUGGUAGAGGUUGGUGGAACUGCGAGUGUAGAGGUGAAAUUCGUAGAUAUUCGCAAGAACACCGGUGGCGAAGGCGGCCAACUGGACCAUUACUGACGCU
rnacentral:rRNA from 1 species